rnacentral:rRNA from 1 species
AUUGAACGCUGGCGGCAGGCCUAACACAUGCAAGUCGAACGAGUGGCGGACGGGUGAGUAAUGUCUGGGAAACUGCCCGAUGGAGGGGGAUCACUACUGGAAACGGUAGCUAAUACCGCAUACCAUCGGAUGUGCCCAGAUGGGAUUAGCUAGUAGGUGGGGUAACGGCUCACCUAGGCGACGAUCCCUAGCUGGUCUUAGAGGAUGACCAGCAACCAGGGAACUGAGACGCGGUCCAGACGCCUACGGAGGGCAGCAGUGGGGAAUCUUGCACAAUGGGCGCAAGCCUGAUGCAGCCAUGCCGGGUGUAUGAAGAAGGCCUUCGGGUUGUAAAGUACUUUCAGAGAUGAGGCGUUACUCGCAGAAGAAGCACCGGCUAACUCCGUGCCAGCAGCCGCGGUAAUAC